AUGAGCAUCUAACAGGAACGGGACCUGAAUGGGGCUGGGAUUGGACAGUGAAGGCAGAACUCUCCUGAGAUGUGGCUCCUGGAGCCAUGCUUUAGAGACCCUCUCUGGUCCUCACCUAUCACCUUCCUGUCCCAAGUUGGCUGGAACUCUGCAGAGCUGGGGGAGAAAACUCACGUCCUGGCUUCUGUCCAGCUCCACAUCAGAAAUGGCAUCAAAUGAAACCCAGGACAUGGGGAACUGCACGACUGAAACCUUCAAGGGACAAUUUUACCCCAUCGCCUACCUAAUCAUAUUUGUCUGGGGAUCCUUGGGAAAUGGCUUGUCCAUAUAUGUUUUCCUGCAGACUUAUAAGAAAUCCUCAUCUGUGAAUGUCUUCAUGCUCAACCUGGCCAUUUCCGAUCUCCUGUUCACAAGUACUCUGCCCUUCAGGGCUGACUACUAUUUCAGAGGCUCCAACUGGAUAUUUGGGGACCUGGCCUGCAGAAUUAUGUCGUACUCCUUGUACGUCAACAUGUACACCAGCAUUUAUUUCCUGACCGUGCUCAGCGUUGUGCGUUUCCUAGCCACCGUUCACCCCUUCCGGCUUCUCCAUGUCACCAGCUUCAGGACGGCUUGGAUCCUCUGUGGGAUCAUAUGGCUCUUUAUCAUGAUUGCCUCAGGAAUGCUGCUGAAGAGAGGCUCCGAGCCAAAGGGCGAGCUCAUAUCAUGCUUGGAUCUGGAUCCCCAAAAAAUUAACAAUCUGCUGAUCAUGAACUACGUUGCCUUGGUGGUGGGCUUCCUGCUGCCCUUCUUCACACUCACCAUCUCUUACCUGCUGAUCAUCCGGGUCCUGUCGAAGGUGAAGCUCUCGGAACUGGGUCUGAGGGCUUCUCACAGGAAGGCUAUGAUCACCAUCAUCAUCACCUUGAUCAUCUUCCUCCUGUGUUUCCUGCCUUAUCACUCACUGAGGACCCUCCACCUGGUCACCUGGGAUGAGAAGGCGUGCGGGGACGGGCUGCACAAAGCCGUGGUCAUCACACUGGCCUUGGCGGCAGCCAACACCUGCUUCAAUCCUUUCCUCUAUUACUUUGCUGGGGAGAAUUUCAAGGAUAAACUAAGGGCUGUGUUCAGAAAAGAACAUCUACAGAGGGCAACGACAAAGUGCAGCUCUCCUGUUUGUGCGUGGCUGAAAACGGACACGAGGGUGUAAGGUCCUUAGAUGAGGCUCCUUCGCAUACCGUUGUGUCCACCUUCAUUCACUCAGCAUCCAGAUGACAUUGUCAUUACGUCACUCUUGACAAAUGUUGAUGUCCACGUCUUAUUAACCAUGACCUUUGUUAAUAAGACCUACUUAGGACAUUUCAUUGGGUGUAGUUUCAGUGGCUGAGUCUAAAUGAUGUAGGAGGAGAAACCCCCCAGUAGAGUCUUAAAUGCUGAAAUCUCAGACUGGGGGGAAGAUGUCAAGCACAGUGGAGCUUGCUUUCCAUCAGAUUCUGGAUCCAGAUCUCUGGCCCAUCAGACAUUCUACAUUUUUAAUUGUCUAACUUCCCCAGCAUAUCCAGUUCCCCAUCCCUAUUAAUCUUUGAGAUACAGCCCAUUACAAAUAUACCAGAGGCCCCAGGACAUCACAAGUGCAUCCCCAGAGAAGAAGUGUAUCCUAAAAUUCAGGCAGAGGCUGGGUAUGAUGGUGCACGCCUGUAAUCCCAGUGGCUCCAGAGGCUGAGGCAGGAGAAUUGUUGAGUUCAAAACCAGCCUCAGUAACUUAAUGAGGCAUUUAGCAACUCAGCCAGACCCUGUCUCUAAAUAAAAUAGAAAAAGGUCUGGGGAUGUGGCUCAGUGGUUAAGCAUCCCUGGGUUCAAUCCUGGGUACCAGAGGGGGCGGGGGAAGGGACUCAGGCUAAGAUAUUGUGAAGAGAAAGGAUGCCCUGUAACAAAGCAGUUACCAAGGCCCCAAACAAGGACAGUGAGAGAGAAGCAGGGGAAGGAUUGAGGUCAGAGAGAGCUGAUGAUAAGUGGGGGAAAGAGGAAUUUCAUUUUGCCCUGGGAGAAGGGUUCUUGCACAAUGAAGGCACAAGGAAUGUUUCCCUUGCCUCUUUCUUGCUCUGGGGUUAGGAAGGACAGGAAGAGUAGGAGGGGGAGCCGGGGCACUGGGUAGAGGGUGGAGAAAUUAGGCAUGGAAUAGGCGAGAAGGCAGGGUCAUGGGCACGUGUCUGUUUUACUUUGAGACCUGGGUUUGGACUGAUGUCACUGCAAUCACUACUCCCGCUGUGGGUCCACUGGGAUGGGAGCCAAAGUAAAGGAGGUGAUGCUGAGGGUUUGGAUUGGGCACUCAGGGAAAGGGAGGAGUGGAAAGCCAGGUGCAAAGGCCGCUGCAUCCCUGAAGUCCUGUUUAUGCUUCAGCAGGACAUGAGCAGAGAGUGGAAACAAAAGCACCGGACAUGGGAGGAGAUCCUUUCUGUCCACAGAAACCAGGCUAAGGAUCCUGCCAACCACUACCAACAACCACUACCAAGGACACUGCACUGCUGCCCUCCCCGUGCCAGGCAGACGGUACCAGGCACUUCACAUUCAUUCACCCCACAGAACCCUCCCGUCUCGACUCCGGAGAAGUUUUCAUUUCACAGAUGGAGAAAUGGGAGCUCAGAGACUUUGAGAAGUGUGCCUCAGUUUAAACAGCUAGUGAGCGUUUAAAAACCUCCUUGCGGAAGGGCUGACAGGGUACUCUACCCACUGGACCCUUGCAAACCUCCAGGGACACUUUUUGAAAGGCUGAAUAGGAGCUCCCCUCUCCCACCAGGAAUAUGCUCCUCCUCAUUCUUACAAGAAAAUAAAGAUUUUUCUCUUUGGAGUUGAUCCCUGACACGGUGGAGGGCUGGAGGGAAGUGAUGUUCUGAGGCUCUGGAGGGACUAAGACCGCUUUCAUGCUAAAGUGAGGACCCAGUGCCCUUCCCUUAUUUGGCUACUAGAAUGAUGACAGACAGAUGCCUGUCAAGGCAGGACCCUGGGGCUUCUGCCUACAGGAAACUGCACAAUCCUAGAAAGAAGGCUGACAGAGGUUGGGAAUCCUCUAGCCUCAAAGCUAGACACCUGCUUUGUUUCCUACCUGACUUCAGAGCCUACAAUGCAGUGAAUCCCUUUCACUCACAAGAGCAUCAAAUCAACCUGUUUUGACAUCAUUAUGAACGGCCAUCAGUGACCACUGCACACUUGAGGAAAAGGCCCUCGUGUGAAAGACACCAGCAAAUAAAUGAGAGAAUAGAUAGAGGCCUUUUCAGAAUGAAGGACCUCAACUUUUUUUAUCAUCCUUGCAUUAAUUAUGGUUAAAUUUCAUUUAAUUUAUUCAUCUAUUUGCAAGUUUCAUUAUUUUUUGUUCUACUCUGCAUCUCUGAGAUUCAUCUGGGAUCUUAUCUUUUUGCCUAAAGAUCUUUCUUCAAUAGUUUUUUUUUUAACACAGCUUAAUUAAAUGAUGAAUUCUCUAUUUUUUUUCUUUAGCAAGAAAAUAUUUUCACUUUAUCUUAAUUCUGAAUUUUAUAUAUAUAUAACAAAUAACACUGGAACAACUGGAUGUCCAUAUGAACAGGCUCAAGAAUUUAUUGGAACCCUCACCUCACACCGUAAACAAAAACCCAUUCAAAAUUGAUGAAAAAUCAACCCAAGAUUCUUACAAGGGGAUGUUCUGCAUCCAUGGAUUCAACCAACCGCUGAUGGAAAAUAUUUGAAAAAAGUGUCUGUGAUAAAUACAUAUAGGUUUCUUCUUGUUAUUCUCUAAACAAUACAGUAUAACAGCUAUUUAUAUAGCAUUUACAUUGCAUUAGGUGUCGUAAAUGAUCCAAAGAUGAUUUGAAAUACAUGGGAAGAAUUGUGUAGGUAUAUGCAAAUAACUACCCUAUUUUACACAAGGGAUUUGAACAUUCACAGAUUUUAGGGUUGGUGUCGAGUUCUGGAACCAAUUCCCCAAGGAUAAGGAGAGAUGAUUGCAUUUGACUUUUCAUUUUUAGAAAUGAAUGUCUAACUAAUUAAUUUUUGUCCCUGGGGAUUGAACCCAGGGGUGCUUUGUCACAGAGCUAUAUCCUCGAUGCUUUUUAUUUUUUUAAGACAGGGUCUCCCUAAGUUGCUGAGGGUCUUGCUAGGUUGCUGAGGUUGACCUCAAAUUUAUAGUCCUUCCGUCUCAGCCUCCCAAGUCACUGGGAUUAUAGGCCUGGGCCUAUAAUCUCAUAAAUGUGCUUAUUUUAUACUCUGGAUCUAAUAAUUCCACCAUGAAGUCUCUAAUGGUCUGAUUCUACCAUCUAUCAUUUCGCCAUCUUUACCCAUGGUGAUGUGUGGUAUGUUUUGUGAUUUUUGAACUAUGGGUCCCUGUUCUUUGGAACUUUCUUCGUGAGGAUUUUCAAGGCUUAUCUCAACUUUCUUUGAGAGAAGUUUUGCAUUUAUACCUACCAUGUUUUUGGUGUUUUGGGAUGCAUCGGAAUGUGAUCCUGGGACCACAGUAAAUCAGAUUCCACACUUGUUUUUUAAAAAAAUACCACAUCGGGGGGCUGGGGAUGUGGCUCAAGCGGUAGCGCGCUUGCCUGGCAUGCGUGCAGCCUGGGUUUGAUCCUCAGCACCACAUACCAACAAAGAUGUUGUGUCCGCCGAGAACUAAAAAAUAAAUAUUAAAAAAUUUUUUUUUCUCUCUCUCUCUCUCCUCUCUCACUCUCUCUUUAAAAAAAAAAAAUACCACAUUGGAAGUAUGAAUUCUGGCUAUAAAUUCUCCCAUGAUCAAAAUUAUGGUCAAAACAUUUCAGGACAGAUGAUUUUUUGUCAUCACCCAGUGGAGGGAGGGUUCCAGACAGGCAAUGUGCAUUGCUCUUCCUGUGGGACACAGGUCUGUUUCUCACACGCCAUUAUGCUGAGCAUGGAGUCUUCCAUUUCCAUUUCAUUUUAUUCAGGAGGUGUAACAGAUCUUGUCCAAAAACG